rnacentral:sRNA from 1 species
UAGUAAACACUUCAAGGUGACACCGCAGC